UAGCCUCCAUUCUCCCAUCUUGUUGCCGCCGCCAGCCUCCCCGUCGGUCCCUCGCCGUCGUCACCCUCAGCACCACCGCCCACCGCGCCUCCGCCUCCUCUCUCUUCUCUCCUUCUCUCUCCUUUUCUCUCCUUUUCUCUCUCUCGCCUAGACUGAGCGCCGCCAGCCUCUCGGCUGGUCCAGAUUCGUCGCACCACCACCACCGCUGCGGGUAUGCCGUGGCCGCGGGUUCGCGCCCCGCCAUCACUGAGGACCUUCCCUCCAGCGGACGACGCCGUUUCCGACAGAUUUCCAGAUUCAUGGAAAGAAAAGGAAGGAUGUGUUUUUGGAGCGUGGGCUGCCAUCGUCGGCGACGGAGUGCCGAGCUCGUUGCCGUAAGUUUCUUCGGCAGGCUCCUUUGUCAUUUCAAGCUAAGUUCCCAUUAUUCAUUAAGAAUCUGCUAUUUUCUAUAUUUUUUUUUUUUAGAUUCUUGGGAUGCUAUGGCUUCUAUGUCCUUAAGGUGCUAAGAUAUCUAUAUGAAAUCCAUAUCAUGCUAAUUUGGUGAUGGGGCAGCAGAUUUUCGUCCCUAAAUUAAGUCACUAUGUUCUUUGCUAGAGAUUGUUAUUUCUAUAUUUUCUUUGCUAUAGAUGCAAUUUGCUAGUAUUCGUUGGUGCUAAAAUCUUGACAUAUGCAUGUUGUGGAAAGAAGAAGAAAGAAGAAAAAAAAAAAAAAACUUGUGUUGUUAUUAGUUACCUUUUUAUGUGUUAGGAAAAAGCUUUACUGCAACUCUCCACUGAUGUGUACGUUCUCUCUCUUUUCUGCUUCGUUGGAAAUGAUUUGGAUGUAUUGUUUGGUUGGAGGUGGGGCAAUGGUUGGUUGGUAAGUAUAUAAUAGUACAGCAAGUGAUCUGAUAAAAUCCCCUCAAAUAUUCUUUUGUAACAUGCCAUUUAAUGCAGCAUAAAAUAUUGUCAGAAGAAUGAUUUCUCUUUAGAAAAUUUUGAUUGCAGCAUUAAAUGUUAUAUUAGAGCGUCUGAAUCUGCCCUCCCCUUUUUGAGAGAUUUUUUAUUAUUAUUAUUUAUUAAUCAUUUAAUUAUUUAGUUAUUUACUGGUUUAUUUAAUUUGGUGUAGGUAUAAUUGGCUUAUGUUCGCGGCCGUUCACGUUGAAGUGUUCGCUUUCUUAAGACAUACGAUGUAUAGAUGAAAUUUUCGUUUGACUUCGUUGGAUGUAUCGGACAUAACAAAAUUAAGUUUUGGGAUCUUAUUUAUUCAUUUAUUUAAAUAUUAUAUUCUUAUA